rnacentral:rRNA from 1 species
CAGUCGCCGCGGGAAUACGGAGGGUGCAAGCGUUAUCCGGAUUUAUUGGGUUUAAAGGGUCCGUAGGCGGACUUAUAAGUCAGUGGUGAAAGCCUGUCGCUUAACGAUAGAACUGCCAUUGAUACUGUAAGUCUUGAGUAUAUUUGAGGUAGCUGGAAUAAGUAGUGUAGCGGUGAAAUGCAUAGAUAUUACUUAGAACACCAAUUGCGAAGGCAGGUUACCAAGAUAUAACUGACGCUGAGGGACGAAAGCGUGGGUAGCGAACAGGAUUAGAUACCCGAGUAGUCCCUGUCUCUUAUAC